rnacentral:rRNA from 1 species
GUCGAACGAAGCACCUUUUGAGAUUCUUCGGAUGAUCGAUCGGUGACUGAGUGGCGGACGGGUGAGUAACGCGUGGGUAACCUGCCCUGUACAGGGGGAUAACAGCUGGAAACGGCUGCUAAUACCGCAUAAGCGCACGAGGAGACAUCUCCUUGUGUGAAAAACUCCGGUGGUACAGGAUGGGCCCGCGUCUGAUUAGCUGGUUGGCAGGGUAACGGCCUACCAAGGCAACGAUCAGUAGCCGGUCUGAGAGGAUGAACGGCCACAUUGGAACUGAGACACGGUCCAAACUCCUACGGGAGGCAGCAGUGGGGAAUAUUGCACAAUGGGGGAAACCCUGAUGCAGCAACGCCGCGUGAGUGAAGAAGUAUUUCGGUAUGUAAAGCUCUAUCAGCAGGGAAGAUAAUGACGGUACCUGACUAAGAAGCUCCGGCUAAAUACGUGCCAGCAGCCGCGGUAAUACGUAUGGAGCAAGCGUUAUCCGGAUUUACUGGGUGUAAAGGGUGCGUAGGUGGCAGUGCAAGUCAGAUGUGAAAGGCCGGGGCUCAACCCCGGAGCUGCAUUUGAAACUGCUCGGCUAGAGUACAGGAGAGGCAGGCGGAAUUCCUAGUGUAGCGGUGAAAUGCGUAGAUAUUAGGAGGAACACCAGUGGCGAAGGCG